CACCACGGGAAAUGUAAAAAGGAACCAGAGUUUGUCCUUGUCCUUAAAGAAGCUUUCCACCCUGAGUCCGGGAGCCAGAUAUGUAAACAAACCAUGAGGUGUGAAUCAAGAGGUAUGUGAUGGUUUGAUAUGCUUUGCUGCAAAGAGAACCUGGCUGUCUUUUGGCUGGUACUCUCUUCCAGCUAAAAAUGGGAAACUGAAGACAGAAAGCCACAGAGGAACACAGGGUAAGGAAUUUAGAUAGACUUUUACAGAAUACUUGCAUUAUUUAUUUUUUUCCUCAGAGAUCUGAAUAUUCAGUAUACUAGUCAUUUUCUGGUUUGAAUAUAAGUAGACACCACUAUUUUGAUUUCACAAGAAAAAAAAAAUCUGUGGGAUUUAAUCCACCAGUCGGAACAGAGAGGAGAAGAAAAGGAAAAGAUGAAAAGUAGGGAGUGAGGGAGGAAAAGACAGUAGAGUACAGUUUUUACGUGGGAGGUUAAGUUCAAAAGCUAAGCAAAAGUCACAUAUAAUCCAAAUUAACUUUGAAAAUCCCUUAACUUCCCUGUAAGACACUGCAAACAUGAUGUUGUGCAUACAACUCUUUACGGUAACUUCCAUGUGUACUGGCG
rnacentral:lncRNA from 1 species